rnacentral:rRNA from 1 species
GUGCAAAGGUAGCAUAAUCAUUAGGGAUUUAAUUGGAACCUGGAAUGAAGGGUUGGACAAAGGAAAAACUGUCUUUGUAAUAAGAGUUGAAAUUUACUUUUAAGUGAAAAGGCUUAAAUAUUUUAAGGGGACGAUAAGACCCUAUAAAACUUUAUAAAUAAUUUAAAUUUAAUUAAGUUGGAUAAUAAAAAUUAAAUUUAAUUAUUUUAUUUUGUUGGGGUGAUAUGAGUAUAAGUAUUAUUAACUGCUUAAAAGUAGUUCUGUUAUAAUAGAGUUAAUAAAUUGAAUGAUCCUUUUUAAAGAUUAUAAGACUAAGUUACUUUAGGGAUAACAGCGUUAUUUUUCUUGAGAGUUCAUAUCGAAAGAGAAGAUUGCGACCUCGAUGUUGAAUUAAAAUAUCUAUAUAAUGCAGUAGUUAUACAAGAAGGUCUGUUCGACCUUUAAAUUUUUACAUGAUUUGAGUUCAAAC